AAGAACAGCCAACCGAUAAAAAGGCCUAGCUCUACUACCUCUGCUUGUGCUGCUGCGUCAAAACACGUGAAGCCGUCAUCCAGAAGAUUCUUUGCCCGUUUCGCGAUUUGGCGUGUCCCCAUCGAUCCGUUGCUGCCGUGCGUGUCUCUCUUUUUGUCUCUCUGUUCGUCGGCUCCUUUGCUGUUGCCACCCACUCAUCAUCUACUCUCCUGUAUACGCGCUCCCAUCGCGCCACUGCUCUUCCGUUCUGUUUCCACUUUACAUUUUUCUCUUCGCUUGCCACUCUCAGCGGCGGUGUGUGCAAACCACAGUAUUAUCUGUUUUAGUAGUGAACUCCCUCCCGCCACUGCCCCAGCUGCUCAUCCCGCGUGUGCCGGUGUGCGCGUGCUUGCGAGCUCGUUCACGUAUCUUCUUUUUCCCCGCAUCGGCACUUCGCCGCAGAAAAAAAAAAUGUCGCAGAGCAACUACGUGUUCAAAUACAUCAUUAUCGGCGACAGCGGCGUUGGCAAGAGCUGUCUGCUGCUCCAGUUCACGGACAAGCGCUUCGAGCCGUUACACGACUUGACCAUCGGCGUAGAGUUUGGGGCGCGGCUCAUCUCCAUCCAAGGCAAGAGUGUCAAGCUGCAGAUUUGGGAUACGGCUGGGCAGGAGAGCUUCCGUAGCAUCACCCGUAGCUACUACCGCGGUGCUAGCGGGGCUCUGCUCGUCUACGACGUCACCCGACGCGAUACCUUCACGCACCUGCAGAGCUGGCUGGAGGAUGCCAAGGCAAACGCGAACACGGCACUUGUGAUUAUGCUGAUUGGUAACAAGUGCGACCUCGAGAGCAAACGCCAGGUGAGCCGAGAGGAAGGAGAGGCGUUUGCGCGCUGCAAUGGGCUGAUGUUUAUGGAAACGAGCGCCAAGACAUCGCAGAACGUCGACGAUGCUUUCCUGCAGACGGCAGCGCUCAUCUACGACAACGUGCAGCUUGGCAUGAUCGAUGCGUCUGUCGUCUCUGGACGUCCAGCGACGCAGGUGAACAACGCACAUUUGCAGAAUGCGCUUGCCAACAACAACAACAGAAACAGCGGGUGCGCAUGCUAGAUGAGGAGAAUGCAAAGAAGCAUGCGGAUGCGAAAACGCGGCGAUUCGGGGGAGCUGGCAGCACCGAUCCGGAGGCGUGGUGAUAUUUUGGAAAGGUGUGCCUUACUCCCUACGUGCUCGCAAACGUCUCAGGCUAGCGCCUGAGAGGGCGUGCCGGCUGCGCGUCUCCCUAACCUCAGCUUCACUUUAUUUUCGCGAAUAUGUCUUUUUGGCCGGCUCCUUUUUUCUUUGCCCUUUGAGAUGAUGGCGUUUGCUCGAUCGCGUGUGCGCGAGCGAGUGAUGUGUGUUGCGGUAGGGGUAGUCGUGGAUCGGUGUGUAGGGAGUUCUUUGUCGUGUUUUGUUUCUUUGUUUCUCGAUGCGCUUGCUCUGCUGCUCUUCCUUCUUUUUUUUUUAGUGUUUGGAUGCCGCCUAACUCCCAACUUCACCCCCUCUUCCUCGUGCGCUCCGUGCUUUCACUGUUGAGGAGUUAUUACUCGGUUGCUUCGAGCGUGUGUGAUCUCUUGCGCAUGUAUUGCUCGGCGUGCCAUCUGCGUGUUCAUUGUUUUCGGGGAGUGCGACAAGGAGGUGUGUGUGUGUGUGCUGCUGUUCUGUAUCUUGCCUCUUUUCGCUUGCUCUUGUCUUCGUUGUUUUCUUCAGCUUCUCUGGCGAAAAGGUGUGUAGCUGUGGCGCGAGGCACGUGCGCCAUUGCACGAUGGCCAUCCUCCUUUGUGGGUUCGCGCCGCUGCUCGAGCGAGUGAGUCUGUAGGUGGGCGCUUUCGUGACUGCAGUCGGUUGCUGUGGUCGGCGCCUUGUCUGCGGACUCGUGGGCAGCUCUCUUAUCGGCUCCUCGGCGCCUUUUCGUCUCCUUAUCCUUCGCACUGCCUGUUCCUGUGGGCGUGACCUGUGCAUUGUGUGCUGUCGAGGGCUCCUCAAUGAAGGGACAAUAUGGAGAGGUCAAGACAAGCGCGCGGGAGGCGAGAUGGCGAUGAUGUACCUUGUUCUGUGUCUCUGUAUAUAUGUGCGGGCCCAUCUCUGUUUUCCUCCGCUUCUGUGCCGCGUGUGCGAUUCCAUGCUUUGGGCCGACGUCCUUCUUUGCUGCCGCUGUUCUGGCUCUUGCUGUUGUGGCUGCCGAUGCAUAGGAGCGUGUGUCUGCCUCUUCCCUCUUCCCUCUUCCCUUCUCUUCCCCCUUUUGGGAUUUGGACGUUAGCCGUCUUCCCGUUUCUUUGUUUGUUUGCCUCCUUUUUCUCGCUUCUGCUGCGUAGAUGCUGCUGAAGACAUCAGCGAUGUUUCCACGAAGCACACAGACACACACAUGCAUGCAUACAUGCAUACCCGCAGUUGUGCUGCUUGCCUAGCUCUUUCGUUUUGUUGCUGCCGCAUAGGUGGCCGAACUUUCGGAGCGGCGAUGAUUUCGCUGCAUCCCUAUGCACGUGCGCGUGCCGGGAAGAUGUGGCCGCCACCGUUCAAUCCCAAGGGAGCAAUGAGCCGCCCUUCUCACAGGGAGGGAGGGGGUCGAAUGCGGUUACGAGCAACCGAUGAAUGUUUUGUGCGUACGUGUGCAUGAAAAACUCUGCUGUGGAUGUGGGUGGGAGCGUGAAUGCGGGUUCGCACACCCGUUGCACGCACAUAUGUGCCUUUUCUCUUUGUUCUUUUUUUUGUGGUAUUCGCAUGGCGCACCGUGACGCAUUUUCGGGGAGGUGUUCAACGCCAGACUUCUCUUCCCGCUCUCCUUUCUGGCCGUUCUAUCUUUUAGCUUGCUUUCUAUGCACGCGCUCCUGUCUCUUAUGGCAGUGUGGGGUGGGGAGGCCAGUCUCCAUGCGUGUUAUAUCAAUGCUCAGCGCACCCGCCACUCUGGGAGGAAGCCAGGCAGCCUCCCUAUCCCCUUCCGAUGCACAGCCACCUCUGGUGGUGACAGGGCUGAGUGCCUACGGCGUGGGGGAAGGCCAGAGCGAUGCAUCGCGACUGAUGUGGACGGCCAGGCUCUGCACGGCGCCGCGUCAGAGCGCUCUGCGACGGUGCGCACGCUUGCACUAACCCAUAUGAUUAGGCAGAGUGUCAUCGCGGCUCCAACGCAUCCCACGCCCGGCCCUAACUGCCCACUGGUGUGGGGAGCCCGAGUACCAUCCCUGAUGGUGGACACACACCGUGCGGCGACCGGCAUGAUGGGGGAGCUGCCUGCGAGGCGGCCUGCGAGGCGGCCGUGGUGGGUAGAGUUUGAGGCAGAGGCCAUGCUCAGAUGGCUGAGUCGGCGCAUUGCUGUAGCACGUGCGUCUCACGCUGCUUCGCACCAGGCGAUGCGGUGCCUGUGACGGGCCAGGGGUAGACUGGAGAGUGACUCAUGUGGUACAGCAAAGUGGGCACGUUGAACAUCAUCGAAGAAAAAGCAUCCACUUGCCUCUCCCCACCCGUACCUCUUCCCUCAUGGGCACACUAAACAUAUGCCCGUCUUCUUCUGGCGACGGGGCCUUCCUCUAUGUCUGUUGUUAUAG
rnacentral:misc_RNA from 1 species